rnacentral:pre_miRNA from 1 species
GACCAGAAAUGAGACACUCGUAUUUGGAGCAUAUAUGAAUGUCUCACUUCUGCACCU